GAUGAACGCUAGCGGCAGGCCUAAUACAUGCAAGUCGAACGGUAAGUCCCUGCUUGCAGGGAACACGAGUGGCGCACGGGUGCGUAACGCGUAUGCAACCUACCUUCAACUGAGGGAUAGCCCCGAGAAAUCGGGAUUAAUACCUCAUAACAAUAUAAGACGACAUCGUUUCUUAUUUAAAGCUCCGGCGGUUGAAGAUGGGCAUGCGUGACAUUAGCUAGUUGGUGAGGUAACGGCUCACCAAGGCAACGAUGUCUAGGGGUUCUGAGAGGAUUAUCCCCCACACUGGUACUGAGACACGGACCAGACUCCUACGGGAGGCAG
rnacentral:rRNA from 1 species